rnacentral:tRNA from 1 species
GAGGGUAUAGCUCAGUGGUAGAGUGCUUGCCUAGCAUGCAUGAGGUCCUGGGUUCGAUCCCUAGCACUUCCA